rnacentral:rRNA from 1 species
CUACGGGCGGCUGCAGUGGGGGAUAUUGCGCAAUGGGGGAAACCCUGACGCAGCAACGCCGCGUGAAGGAAGAAGGUCUUCGGAUUGUAAACUUCUUUAAGUGUGGAAGAUAAUGACGGUACACACAGAAUAAGCCACGGCUAACUACGUGCCAGCAGCCGCGGUAAUACGUAGGUGGCAAGCGUUGUCCGGAUUUACUGGGUGUAAAGGGCGUGUAGGCGGGUAAACAAGUCAGAUGUGAAAUACCGAGGCUCAACCUCGGAGCUGCAUUUGAAACUGUAUAUCUUGAGUGUCGGAGAGGAAAGCGGAAUUCCUAGUGUAGCGGUGAAAUGCGUAGAUAUUAGGAGGAACACCAGUGGCGAAGGCGGCUUUCUGGACGAUAACUGACGCUGAGGCGCGAAAGCGUGGGGAGCAAACAGGAUUAGAUACCCUCGUAGUC